rnacentral:rRNA from 1 species
AACGAACGCUGGCGGCAGGCUUAACACAUGCAAGUCGAGCGCCCCGCAAGGGGAGCGGCAGACGGGUGAGUAACGCGUGGGAAUCUACCCAUCUCUACGGAAUAACGCAUGGAAACGUGUGCUAAUACCGUAUACGUCCUUUGGGAGAAAGAUUUAUCGGAGAUGGAUGAGCCCGCGUUGGAUUAGCCAGUUGGUGGGGUAAAGGCCUACCAAGGCGACGAUCCAUAGCUGGUCUGAGAGGAUGAUCAGCCACACUGGGGCUGAGACACGGCCCAGACUCCUACGGGAGGCAGCAGUGGGGAAUAUUGGACAAUGGGCGCAAGCCUGAUCCAGCCAUGCCGCGUGAGUGAUGAAGGCCCUAGGGUUGUAAAGCUCUUUCACCGGUGAAGAUAAUGACGGUAACCGGAGAAGAAGCCCCGGCUAACUUCGUGCCAGCCGCCGCGGUAACAC